rnacentral:lncRNA from 1 species
UCUAGCUUUUGCCAUCCAGUGCAUGUAAAGGGAAAGCACGAUGUUUUCAUCUGUGUUUCCGGGAUGACUCGUGGGUCCAAUGUGGCUUUAUUUACUCGAUGCCUCUUUGGAUCUUUCUGUCAACUGACCGUUGGAUGCUUCGUCCUCUGUUGUGGUUGUCGCCUUCUGGUUGCUGCAAGACUCCUUCUGAAUUGCCAGCCCAGGACGGCACGACACCUUCCUCCAGAGCUUCCUCCGCUCCUCCUGUGCUCUGUGCUUGUGUCCGUGGUGCACGCUGAAGAGAAACCCGUAUCUUCUAUGUCCUCGAGCACACGUUCUCUGUGUGUGUGGGCAGAGUUUUUUCCUUCUAAUGAGGCAGUUAUUUUUCUCUGGAAGAAGACUGGGGCCGUUGGCACAGAAAACCUGAGCUCUCCCUGCAGAAUAUCCACACAGUUUCCAGUUUUGAAGCUAAAAAUGUACCAGAACAUAGAGCAAUGUUCCAACGCCCAACACCUCCUAAGAGCCACUCUGGUCGACUUCUUUUCUCCCGUGGGCUUUCCUCGCCACUCUGCCUGGUGGGGGCUCGUCCUCUGGUUUUUGUUAAUAAAGCUUUAUUGGCA